rnacentral:lncRNA from 1 species
ACCUCUCGUUCUCUCCCCAACUGAGUGUUCUUUUCCUCCUCCCUGCCUUUUUCAUUCCUGCAGCUGUGUGAUUAAUUGGGGGAGAGUGAAAUUAGGGUUUGUCCGUCUUCACUCAAUCAAAGGUAAUCAACUCUCGUUUUGAUUAAUUGUGAUUCUUAAACUUGAUUAUAUGCAUAAGUGUCUGUAUACUUGUGUAUGUAUGUAUUUGUGUGGCUGUUCGUUUCGACUGGAGAUGAUGACAACACUGUUGGUGGAGGGCCGUGGUGGUGAUGUGGUGGUGUAUAUAUAGCUGUGUGUUAUGUUCUUAAAAUGGGUUUUUUUGUGUAAUUUGAGUUGUGGUGUUAGAAUUGAGGCAAUUGUUGUCAAGCUUCGCAGCGGUAAUGUCCUGUUUUGUAGCUUUGUUCUAGGACUAUUAAGUUCAAUUACUAUGCUUAAUUUCCCUGUGAUUAUAUGCUCCUUGAAGUCUAGAUUAAGUGCGAAAAAGAAUUUCAAAGUUUCGUUAAAUGAGCUAAAAGUUAUGAAUUAAUUAGUGACUCUAUGUCUAGAUGACAAAAUUCUGCUAUGUGACAUAUGUGUGCACUGCCCUAUUUUGACAUGUGUAUUUCAAACUGAUAUAAGAUUAAUUGGUGAAUGGAUUGAUUUAUAUUGAUGUCUCUUAAGGUAUAAAAUCAGUACCAAAAGGAUUUAGGUUGAUUGGAUUAAUAAGAUUAAAGUUAUGUUAGAUUUUUAAGAGAUAUGCUACAUGAUUAGAUGCUGAGUAAUAUGUUAUGAUUUUGAUGUGUCUUGUAUGCAAAGUCUGUACAACAUAGAAUAGAAUUAAAAUACUGAACCUCUGAGACUAUAUGCUAUGUGGAAUCAAGGAUCUAUGCCAAGUGGAAUUAAUCAAUUUGGAUUAGUAAAUAUUAAGAUAUGAAUUUUUAUGUGUACGGUGUUAUUAGAGCCCUGCUGUGAUGCUUUCUCUGCACCAUGUUGAACUUCCAAAAUUUAUACUAAAUUAAUUAUGUGUUGGAACUUGUUUGUUUGACCUCUGUAACUUAGCUAUUCGAGUUCUAUAUGAUUUCUAUUCUCUGAGUUCCUUGAUUUGGUGCUUGCUUCUAUUUUAUGGAAAUUGAUUAAGUCAAGUAUGUCAAAACUAUACUACACUGCCCUGUUUUACUAAAUGAUGCAUUGUGUAAAUCUUAUAAAUGAUUAAAUGGUGAAUCUUUUUGUGUUGAUUAGAUAAUUUCAAGUAUGUCAUUUCCUGUUUGUAUUGUCUAGGAAAAUUAUGUAAUCUAAUGUGCUAUAAGUUGGCAAAAUUGAGAGGGCAGUUGCUGAUUUGUAUUAAGAAGUAUGAUUUGCCGUUUCAUUACUUAAUCACUUUUUGCAUACUAUAUAUGGUUAGAAAGAUCUUGGAAUGCUCUAUCUUUUUUUGUUUAAUGUAUCUAUAAAUGAGAUUUCCGAAUGCUAGUAAAAUGCAAAUCUCUUGGUGUCUGUCCAGCAGUUUAUGGGCUUUAUGAAUUGUCGAGUUAGAAUUAUAUGUAUUGUUCUAUGACUUGCAUCUAGACUUAAAGUUGAAUCAUUGUUUGGCUGAGAUAUGUGAGUUAUUGAUGUGUGAUUGUGUUUUAAUUGAUAAUUGGUUCGGUACUUGUUGGUUUAUUGAGUUGGAUUGGGUUGGUUAUUUGUUGAGUUGUAUAGGGAGUUAGAAAACUGUUUUGUUAAUAACUUUUGAUCCGUAAUUCAGAAUCGAGUGAAACGAAAAAGAGGUUAAAGCUUAGAAACUCUAGUUUAAUAUAAUGUAACAAUAUGAUUGAGUUUCCAAUGUGUAUAAAGAUUGUUGAAAAUGCAUAAUGUGACUAUACGUGAUCUAUUUGCUAUAUAGUGAUGAUUAUAUCAAAUACGUAUCCAUUUGAUUUGAUAAACGAUUUGGGAGACAUAGCAUCUUGUCUUGAUUAAUGUUGAAUAAGAAUAUGUAGAUUACAGGAAUUUGAGUUGAUUGAUUGGUUGUUGGUUGAAAUAGGCUGACAGAUGGAUAGUCCUAUAAAUAGACAAGACGCUGUCAGAUUUUCAAUAGGAUUUAUAUGGUUAUUGAGUUGUAGUAUGCUACAUGGAGUAUGAUGUGACUAUAUGAUAAAGUCAAAGCAUGAUUAUAUGUUAAGUGAUACCUGAUAAGUGCAUAGAGAUUAUAUAGGGUGAUAUGUGAUUAUGUGUUAAAUGCUAUCGAUAUAAGUGAUAUGUAUAUGCGAUAGGUUAUGAUACCGAGUUUGAUAAGUAAGAUAAGAAUUAAUAGAUUAUUUAGUAAUUAUGGUAGUAUUUUAUUCUCGUAAAGGAUUUGGACGAGGCGUAUACGACCGAAGACGUUCAGAAAGUCAAACGGUGUUCCAAAGCGAAUGAGGAACGAAUCGAGUAAGUGAAGCAGUGUGGCGAAUAAAGUAUAGCCAGAGAUGGUCUAGAUACUAUGAUAUGCAUAGGUUGUGAGUUGGAAAGAUGAGAUUAAGCUGUGUGUGGAAGCGGAUUUAAGGCAAGUUUUCCUAAAUACUUCCUCACAUAUAUAUAUUGCAUGUUCUGAUUAUUCUGUCCAGACUAUGUUAUUGCUUAUACUGAAACCCUUCUCAAAUAAACUCUUAUUUCUGAGAAUGAAACCCAUGAUUGUUUUCAACUUUCAAGUCUUUGAAAAGCCAAACACCCAAAUACUCUCAAUUUCUAUUACAAGUAUUCUGAUCCAUUCUUUCCAAUCCUCAAGAUUUUAAAAAUAUCAGCUUUACAAAUUAAUUCGAAGUUCAGACCGUCAUUGAAGCAUGGGUUGCUCAGUGAUAGUUAGAACCUAGAAUGAAUUGGGAUCUUCUUGAUUAUUCAACCCGCCAUUGUCAUGCUGGUUUAGCAGGCUAAAUUCAGUUGCUUAGCCGAUAAUGGAGGAUACUGAAUAGUUAGGAAUUUCCUGAACUAUGAUUUAUUAAAAGACAGACUGUGGUUUAUGAAAUGUUGAUCCUCAAAAGUUGGUUUGGAAUAUUUCUGUUAUUGAUAAUGAUUAUGAUUCUGUUCUGUUGAUUGAAUUGUCUAUUGAUUUAAAUUGUUAGAAUUGGAUUAGUUUUUAUAAAAUAUGUGGACCAGAUUCGUGGUCAGACCAGAUUCGUGGUCAAUUAUAGGCCAAUGUGUGCCUUGGAUCCAGUAUAGAGAACAGGGCUGUGUGCCAUGUUCGGGGUUAGUGCGUGACUGAUCAGCAGCCUAACCUUUGGUUUUUAAGUAAAAAUGUGAUGAAUCCAAUUCGACAAUUCUUCUGUAAGUUUGAAAUUCUGAUUUCAAUUGCUGAUAAGAAUUGUGAAGUUUUCAAUUGCAUAUCCUGAACUUGUGAACCCUGAUAAAAUAUUUCAGGACUAUUGUUGCUUAUAUACACUUGUUGAGCAUUGUAGCUCACCCUUGCUAUUCUUUUUUUUUUACCAUUUCAGAAAAGCUUAGAGAUGAAUUGCUUGAUUGAGAUUGCGAGUAUGGCUAAGGCUAAGCGAGGAGUCAGAGUUAUAGAAUAUCCAGAGGACAAGUGGAAUGUCCAGGGAGAUUGUCAAGGUUGGUUCUAGAUAGAAUUGUAUUGAUGAGAUUCAGUUGUAAGUCAUAAUUGGAAUAGAUUGACAGUGAUUCUUCUUAUCGAAGAUGAUCUGAGAUUGUAAGAUAUUGUUUAUUGAUAGUGGUUGAUUCUGAUUUCAAUACUGUAACCUGGAUGCGAUCCUGUUUUUAGGGGGUUAAAGUGUUUUCUUUUAAAUCUUUUAUUAAAGUCUUCAAGUUUUAAAUGCUUUGAUUUUUAUUUUCUCCUCAAAAAUACAGGUUUUCAAAAGUGUUUAAAAAUGGGUUUUGUGUGGUGACGUCAGAAUCCAGACCCCCGGAUUCUCGGGCUGUCACAGUUGGUAUCAGAGCAACAGGUUAUAAGUUAUUGAAAUUAGAAUAUAGAUUGUGGUUAUAAGUUUUAUAGAGAAAAAGUGUUCAGUGACCUCAUAUAGAGGUAUUGUGAGACUGUCUGGGGAUAGUCUAGAGAGGUAAUCGGAAUAGAAUCUAGAUAGUUAAUUAAGUUGAGGGUACAUGUUUAGAUAGAUCAUGGUUCCUAAGUCUAGAUACUUGGUUUCUAGUAUGGGGACUGAUUGAGAUAGUGAAUUGUGAUAAGGGUCAGAGUCGGACCUAGUCAAAAGAGUAUUAAUAAUGAAUGAUUAAGUUAAGAAUGAUAAAGAUGCAUGGUUUGGAGUAUUCUGACCAUGUUACAUAUUUGAAAGUGGUUUAUCGUUUGAAUUGAAAUGUAGAAGAAUGGAUGUUGAAUAUGAGAUAUUGUGAAUUAGAAAGAGAAUUUUGUAGAUAGAUGUGAUGUGAAUGAUAGAGAGUAGGUGGAAUUGAGUCUAGUUAUCAGAAGUAAUAUUGUGAGUGAGAUAGAACGUUAGUCUUAACGACGACGCUUCAAGCUAACCGGCAUUUCAUCUGCUAUCAAGAUGAACCUGCUUCAUUGCGAAUGAUAAUGUCUACAAGGAAAUCUUACGAGGCUAUCACGAGUUAAUGAUGAUCGAUUAUCGAGAACGUCGAGAAGAGGACAUACAUUGAACAACGAUUUAUGGAAGUAGAGCAGGAAUUUGAGAAGACCUUGGCAAUAUCUUUCUUCAACAAAAGCUUAUCUUAAUUCUUUUCAUCAUCAUUAAGUCCUUAUUAGGAUACCUUUUCUACAAAAAGUUUUGAUAAAUGAGAUAUUCUAUUUCUCGAAUGACGAGAAAACAUUGGUAUUGAUUAUUGAUAUUGGUAUUGAUUCUUGGUGUGUGAUAAAGGUAGAGCAGGAAUUUGAGAAGACCUUGGCAAUAUCUUUCUUCAACAAAAGCUUAUCUUAAUUCUUUUCAUCAUCAUUAAGUCCUUAUUAGGAUACCUUUUCUACAAAAAGUUUUGAUAAAUGAGAUAUUCUAUUUCUCGAAUGACGAGAAAACAUUGGUAUUGAUUAUUGAUAUUGGUAUUGAUUCUUGGUGUGUGAUAAAAGUUAUUGUGAGAAGACAAUGAUAUUUCUUGAUAUUUCUUGAGAUUCUUUGAUAUAUAUCUUGAUUCUCUUGAUAUUCUUUGGUAUUCUUUGAUAUUCCUUGGUAUUACUUCCAUCUGAUUGGGAUGAACAACCCUAUGUAUAGGGGACACAAGGUAUACCUGUCUGUGUGAUAGGAGUUGGAUGGGACGCCAUCACUUGUGUGUGUUGUACUUACAAGAAGGUUAACAACCUUUAGUAGUGUCUAAUAUGGGCACGCAACACUAAGUUCGUUUGAUCAUAUUGAUCUCUCAGUCACUCUCUUAUUUAAACAUGACCUAUUUUGCAAACAUCUUGUUCACAUUCUAAAUCUCAAGGAUUGAUUCUUGGGAAAUGAAUUCUGCAAUUGUGAAAGAUUGAUUCUCCUAUUUCUUUAAAGUUAAAGGUAUGCCAAGGUCAUUUAAAGGUGGGGAAUGAUAUUACGAAGUUUUAGUUCUCUUCGCGGAUUCUGAGGACAGAAUCCUUAUAAGGAGGGUAGAAUGUAACAUCCCAGAUUUUCAGAAUUAGUUUAUUAAUUUAGAAAUAAAUUUUUGAAUAUUAUUAUUGGUUUUAGUUGAUUUUUUUCUGAUGAGAUGAAUGAUCUGUGUAGUAUGAGUAUAAUUUUGAUGUGGAAUUAUAAGGUUUAAACAGAUUAUGCAUUCUUCUUCUGUGAUUUCGUAUAUUUUCACGACCCGGAUUUUUCAAAAAUUGUUUAUUGUUAUGAAAGUUAUUUUCUUAGAAAGGAGGAAUAAAAUUUAAUAUUUUAUUCCAGUUUGAUAAUUUUCAAAAAUAUUUGUAUAAAUUAUUUUCCUUGUCAUCGGGGUUAGGGGAAAAUAUCUGUUCAUCGUGCAGUUAUCUGUUACGAGAUUUAAUUGAUUUAUUUGUGUACGAUUAUGUCUGUGUGCAUUUAUUUCUGCUUUUGAUAUUAUUAUAUUACUUUAUUAAAAUUUAUUAUCUUCUUAAAUGGAUAUUAUUUUUGUAAAAAUACAAAGAUAAUUUGAAAACUUAUUUUAAUUGCUUGAUGGUGAUCAUAAAUAUUUUUAGGAGUUUAUAAAAUAUUAAGAAUCUUAUGUCUAUAUGGUCGGAUUUUUAAUUAGUUUCUGAAGCAUCUAACCUCUAAAUUUUGUAUAAGUUUCGAAAAUGCUCUGUAAAUCCCGAAACUUUUAUUUAAUUAGUUUUAUAAUAUUCAUGGAUUUGUAAAAUUAUUUUGGUGAUUUUUCGGGAAUGUUUUAUUAUGAAUAGUAUCUGUAAAUAAGCUAAUUGCGGGUAUUAGCCAGGGAUUGUUCUACAAAAAAUAGGACACGCAGCAGCAUGAGAGUGUGACACGUACCCCUAUAUUCCACCGCCUGUACUCCCUUUCUUCUUUCCUUUUCUUAAUGUCAUCACUUUUGAAACCUCAAGUCUCGGUCUCUCCUACCUCUCGUUCUCUCCCCAACUGAGUGUUCUUUUCCUCCUCCCUGCCUUUUUCAUUCCUGCAGCUGUGUGAUUAAUUGGGGGAGAGUGAAAUUAGGGUUUGUCCGUCUUCACUCAAUCAAAGGUAAUCAACUCUCGUUUUGAUUAAUUGUGAUUCUUAAACUUGAUUAUAUGCAUAAGUGUCUGUAUACUUGUGUAUGUAUGUAUUUGUGUGGCUGUUCGUUUCGACUGGAGAUGAUGACAACACUGUUGGUGGAGGGCCGUGGUGGUGAUGUGGUGGUGUAUAUAUAGCUGUGUGUUAUGUUCUUAAAAUGGGUUUUUUUGUGUAAUUUGAGUUGUGGUGUUAGAAUUGAGGCAAUUGUUGUCAAGCUUCGCAGCGGUAAUGUCCUGUUUUGUAGCUUUGUUCUAGGACUAUUAAGUUCAAUUACUAUGCUUAAUUUCCCUGUGAUUAUAUGCUCCUUGAAGUCUAGAUUAAGUGCGAAAAAGAAUUUCAAAGUUUCGUUAAAUGAGCUAAAAGUUAUGAAUUAAUUAGUGACUCUAUGUCUAGAUGACAAAAUUCUGCUAUGUGACAUAUGUGUGCACUGCCCUAUUUUGACAUGUGUAUUUCAAACUGAUAUAAGAUUAAUUGGUGAAUGGAUUGAUUUAUAUUGAUGUCUCUUAAGGUAUAAAAUCAGUACCAAAAGGAUUUAGGUUGAUUGGAUUAAUAAGAUUAAAGUUAUGUUAGAUUUUUAAGAGAUAUGCUACAUGAUUAGAUGCUGAGUAAUAUGUUAUGAUUUUGAUGUGUCUUGUAUGCAAAGUCUGUACAACAUAGAAUAGAAUUAAAAUACUGAACCUCUGAGACUAUAUGCUAUGUGGAAUCAAGGAUCUAUGCCAAGUGGAAUUAAUCAAUUUGGAUUAGUAAAUAUUAAGAUAUGAAUUUUUAUGUGUACGGUGUUAUUAGAGCCCUGCUGUGAUGCUUUCUCUGCACCAUGUUGAACUUCCAAAAUUUAUACUAAAUUAAUUAUGUGUUGGAACUUGUUUGUUUGACCUCUGUAACUUAGCUAUUCGAGUUCUAUAUGAUUUCUAUUCUCUGAGUUCCUUGAUUUGGUGCUUAUAAAAUGAAUUUCUAAAAAUACAAAAAUGAUUUGAAAAAUUCUUUCAAUUACUUGAAAAUUAUAAUGAAUAUUUUUAGGAGUUUUUAAAAUAUUAAAUAUAUUAUUUUUGUAAAAGUUUGAUGUUUAAAUAUUUUCUGAACGCAAUUAAUUUCUAAAUUGCGUAUAAAUUUCAUAAGUACUCGAUAAAUCUCAAAACUUUUAUUUCAUUGGUCUUAUAACAUUCCGGGAUUUAUAAAAAUAUUUCGGUAGCUGUCGGAAGAAAUUUUACUGCAAGUUUUUCCCUGAAUUAGUUGAUAUCGGGUAUUUAGGAUUGAAUAUCAGAUUAAAAGGAGGUGUGACAUGUGUCCCAAUAUUCCACCGCCUAUACUCCCUUUCUUCUUUCCUUUUCUAUAUUUCAUCACUUUUAAAACAUCAAGUCUCAGUCUCUCGCAUCUCUCGUUGUUGAGCCUCAACUAGUGUUCUCUUCCUCCUCUCUGCCUUUUCAAUCUUGCAACCGUGUGAUUAAUUAGGAGAGAGUGAAAUUAGGGUUUGGGAUUUUUCAACCAAUCAAAGGUAAUCAUCUCUCGUUUCGAUUAAUUGCGAUUCUUAAACUUGAUUAUAUGCAUAAGUGUGUGUAUACUUGUGUAUGUAUGUAUCUGUGUGGCUGUUCGCUUUAACUGGAGAUGAUGACAACAUUGUUGGUGGUUUGGUGGUGGAGCUGUGGUGUUGAUGUGGUGGUGUAUAUAUAGCUGUGUACAUGUUCUUAGAAUGGGUUUUGUGUAAUUUGAGAUGUGGUAUUAGAAUUGAGUCAAUUGUUGUCAAGCUUCGCAGCGGUAAUGUCCUGUUUUGUAGCUUUGUUCUAGGACUGUUAAGUUCGAUUACUAUGCUUAAUUUUCCUGCGAUUAUAUGCUCCUUGAAGUCUAGAUUAAGUGCGAAAAAGAAUUUCAAAGUUUCGUUAAAUGAGCUAAAAGUUAUGAAUGAAUUAGUGACUCUUUGUCUAGAUGAGAAAAUUCUGCUAUGUGACAUAUGUGUGCAUUGCCCUGUUUUGACAUGUGUACUCCAAACUGACAUAAGAUUAAUUGGUAAAUUGAUUAACUUAUAAUGAUGUUUCUUAAGGUAUAAAAUCAGUACCAAGAGGAAUUAGGUUGAUUGGAUUAAUAAGAUUAAAGUUAUGUUAGAUUUUUUUUAAGAGAUAUACUACAUGAUUAGAUGCUGAGUAAUAUGUUAUGAUUUUGAAGUGUCUUGUAUGCAAAGUCUGUAUAACAUAGAAUAGAAUUAAAAUACCAAACCUCUGAGACUAUAUGCUAUGUGGAAUCAAGGAUCUAUGCCAAGUGGAAUUAAUCAAUUUGGAUUAGUACAUAUUAAGAUAAGAAUUUUUAUGUAUCCGGUGUUAUUAGAGCCCUGCUGUGAUGCUUUCUCUGCACCAUGUUGAACUUUCAAAAUUUAUACUAAAUUAAUUAUGUGUUGGAACUUGUUUGUUUGACCUCUGUAACUUGGCUAUGUGAGUUCUCUAUGAUUUCUAUUCUUUGAGUUUCUUGAUUUGGUGCUUGCUUCUAUUUUAUGAAAAUUGAUCAAGUCAAGUAUGUCAAAACCAUACUACACUGUCCUGUUUUGCUAAAUGAUGCAUUAUGUACUAACUAUAACUGAUUAAAUGGCGAGUCUUUUUGUGUUGAUCAGAUAAUUUCAAGUAUGACGUCUCCUGUUUGUAUUGUCUUGGAAAAUUAUGUAAUCUAGUGUUCUAUAAGUUAGCAAAAUUGAGAGGGUUGUUGCUGAUUUGUAUUAAGAAGUCAACUUAAUUAAUGAUUUCCUGUUUUAUUACUUGAUCACUUUUUGCAUACUAUAUAUGGUUAGAAAGAUCUUGGAAUGCUCUAUCUUUUUUUGUUUAAUGUAUCUAUAAAUGAGAUUUCCGAAUGCUAGUAAAAUGCAAAUCUCUUGGUGUCUGUCCAGCAGUUUAUGGGCUUUAUGAAUUGUCGAGUUAGAAUUAUAUGUAUUGUUCUAUGACUUGCAUCUAGACUUAAAGUUGAAUCAUUGUUUGGCUGAGAUAUGUGAGUUAUUGAUGUGUGAUUGUGUUUUAAUUGAUAAUUGGUUCGGUACUUGUUGGUUUAUUGAGUUGGAUUGGGUUGGUUAUUUGUUGAGUUGUAUAGGGAGUUAGAAAACUGUUUUGUUAAUAACUUUUGAUACGUAAUUCAGAAUCGAGUGAAACGAAAAAGAGGUUAAAGCUUAGAAACUCUAGUUUAAUAUAAUGUAACAAUAUGAUUGAGUUUCCAAUGUGUAUAAAGAUUGUUGAAAAUGCAUAAUGUGACUAUACGUGAUCUAUUUGCUAUAUAGUGAUGAUUAUAUCAAAUACGUAUCCAUUUGAUUUGAUAAACGAUUUGGGAGACAUAGCAUCUUGUCUUGAUUAAUGUUGAAUAAGAAUAUGUAGAUUACAGGAAUUUGAGUUGAUUGAUUGGUCGUUGGUUGAAAUAGGCUGACAGAUGGAUAGUCCUAUAAAUAGACAAGACGCUGUCAGAUUUUCAAUAGGAUUUAUAUGGUUAUUGAGUUGUAGUAUGCUACAUGGAGUAUGAUGUGACUAUAUGAUAAAGUCAAAGCAUGAUUAUAUGUUAAGUGAUACCUGAUAAGUGCAUAGAGAUUAUAUAGGGUGAUAUGUGAUUAUGUGUUAAAUGCUAUCGAUAUAAGUGAUAUGUAUAUGCGAUAGGUUAUGAUACCGAGUUUGAUAAGUAAGAUAAGAAUUAAUAGAUUAUUUAGUAAUUAUGGUAGUAUUUUAUUCUCGUAAAGGAUUUGGACGAGGCGUAUACGACCGAAGACGUUCAGAAAGUCAAACGGUGUUCCAAAGCGAAUGAGGAACGAAUCGAGUAAGUGAAGCAGUGUGGCGAAUAAAGUAUAGCCAGAGAUGGUCUAGAUACUAUGAUAUGCAUAGGUUGUGAGUUGGAAAGAUGAGAUUAAGCUGUGUGUGGAAGCGGAUUUAAGGCAAGUUUUCCUAAAUACUUCCUCACAUAUAUAUAUUGCAUGUUCUGAUUAUUCUGUCCAGACUAUGUUAUUGCUUAUACUGAAACCCUUCUCAAAUAAACUCUUAUUUCUGAGAAUGAAACCCAUGAUUGUUUUCAACUUUCAAGUCUUUGAAAAGCCAAACACCCAAAUACUCUCACUUUCUAUUACAAGUAUUCUGAUCCAUUCUUUCCAAUCCUCAAGAUUUUAAAAAUAUCAGCUUUACAAAUUAAUUCGAAGUUCAGACCGUCAUUGAAGCAUGGGUUGCUCAGUGAUAGUUAGAACCUAGAAUGAGUUGGGAUCUUCUUGAUUAUUCAACCCGCCAUUGUCAUGCUGGUUUAGCAGGCUAAAUUCAGUUGCUUAGCCGAUAAUGGAGGAUACUGAAUAGUUAGGAAUUUCCUGAACUAUGAUUUAUCAAAAGACAGACUGUGGUUUAUGAAAUGUUGAUUCUCAAAAGUUGGUUUGGAAUAUUUCUGUUGUUGAUAAUGAUUAUGAUUCUGUUCUGUUGAUUAAAUUGUCUAUUGAUUUAAAUUGUUAGAAUUGGAUUAGUUUUUAUAAAAUAUGUGGACCAGAUUCGUGGUCAGACCAGAUUCGUGGUCAAUUAUAGGCCAAUGUGUGCCUUGGAUCCAGUAUAGAGAACAGGGCUGUGUGCCAUGUUCGGGGUUAGUGCGUGACUGAUCAGCAGCCUAACCUUUGGUUUUUAAGUAAAAAUGUGAUGAAUCCAAUUCGACAAUUCUUCUGUAAGUUUGAAUUCUGAUUUCAAUUGCUGAUAAGAAUUGUGAAGUUUUCAAUUACAUAUCCUGAACUUGUGAACCCUGAUAAGAUAUUUCAGGACUAUUGUUGCUUAUAUACACUUGCUGAGCAUUGUUGCUCACCCUUGCUAUUCCUUUUUAACCAUUUCAGAAAAGCUUAGAGAUGAAUUGCUUGAUUGAGAUUGCGAGUAUGGCUAAGGCUAAGCGAGGAGUCAGAGUUAUAGAAUAUCCAGAGGACAAGUGGAAUGUCCAGGGAGAUUGUCAAGGUUGGUUCUAGAUAGAAUUGUAUUGAUGAGAUUCAGUUGUAAGUCAUAAUUGAAAUAGAUUGACAGUGAUUCUUCUUAUCGAAGAUGAUCUGAGAUUGUAAGACAUUGUUUAUUGAUAGUGGUUGAUUCUAAUUUCAAUACUGUAACCUGGAUGCGAUCCUGUUUUUAGGGGGUUAAAGUGUUUUCUUUUAAAUCUUUUAUUAAAGUCUUCAAGUUUUAAAUGCUUUGAUUUUUAUUUUCUCCUCAAAAAUACAGGUUUUCAAAAGUGUUUAAAAAUGGGUUUUGUGUGGUGACGUCAGAAUCCAGACCCCCGGAUUCUCGGGCUGUCACAGUUAGUCUUGGGGGAGAAUCGCCUAAGCAAUCAUUUCAGGAAAAUGCCAUUUUUCUUCAAAAAUCAUGAAACAACCAACAUUAAUUUGUGUGGCUUGAUAAAGUUGGUAAAACUUGCAAACCGCAACUACACCGUGUCAAACGAAAAUCGCAUAAAACACAUCACAAGAACGCAGUGCGAUAUGAUGCGGGUUGUGUGAUUUAUACAUUUAAAAAAUAAAUACUUUUCGAUGAACAUAUAAAUAUAAUUUUAAAUUAUAUAUAAAUCAAUUAUAAUAAAAUUAUGUAAAUAUUUACAAUUUAGAGCUACAAGAUUAGUAAAAAGAUAUAAACUAAAAUAUAAGUAUGCUAAUAAUGAAGAUAAAAAGAUAUCGAUACAAAAAAAUUAAUUUUAUAGAAACAAACAUAAUUGUAAUGUAUAGUUAGUAACAUUAGAAUUACUCUUAAUUUAUAAUGUAAAAAUUUAUUAAAAAUUAGUAAAAAAUAUUAGAAUCCUGAACAUAUUAUUAGUAAUAAGGGGAAGAUGAGGAUGAGGUCAAGUCAUCAUAUCUUUUGUGUCCGGGGAAACACAAGUGCUACAAUGUCCUGGAUAAAGGAUCGCAAUCCUAUGAGAUUGAGCUAACGCCAAAAAUCCGUUUCCAGUUCGGACUGCACUCCAAGCUUGCAACUUACCUGCAUGAAGUCAGAACUGCCAGUAAUCGUCGGUCAACCAUAGAUCAAUAAAUUCAUUUCUACUGUCACUCUAUGAGAGCUGAUCAUAUCUGAAGUCAUUAAG